UACGAAGGGGGCUAGCGUUGCUCGGAAUCACUGGGCGUAAAGCGCACGUAGGCGGACUCUUAAGUCAGGGGUGAAAUCCUGGAGCUCAACUCCAGAACUGCCUUUGAUACUGGGAGUCUUGAGUUCGGGAGAGGUGAGUGGAACUGCGAGUGUAGAGGUGAAAUUCGUAGAUAUUCGCAAGAACACCAGUGGCGAAGGCGGCUCACUGGCCCGAAACUGACGCUGAGGUGCGAAAGCGUGGGGAGCAAACAGG
rnacentral:rRNA from 1 species